rnacentral:rRNA from 1 species
CAGUAGCCACGGUAAUACGAAGGGUGCAAGCGUUAAUCGGAAUUACUGGGCGUAAAGCGUGCGUAGGCGGUUUGUUAAGUCUGUCGUGAAAUCCCCGGGCUCAACCUGGGAAUGGCAGUGGAUACUGGCAAGCUAGAGUGUGUCAGAGGAUGGUGGAAUUCCCGGUGUAGCGGUGAAAUGCGUAGAGAUCGGGAGGAACAUCAGUGGCGAAGGCGGCCAUCUGGGACAACACUGACGCUGAGGCACGAAAGCGUGGGGAGCAAACAGGAUUAGAUACCCCUGUAGUCCCUGUCUCUUAUAC